rnacentral:rRNA from 2 species
AACGCUAGCUACAGGCUUAACACAUGCAAGUCGAGGGGCAGCAUAAAAGUAGCAAUACUUUGGUGGCGACCGGCGCACGGGUGAGUAACGCGUAUGCAACCUACCUAUCAGAGGGGGAUAACCCGGCGAAAGUCGGACUAAUACCGCAUAAAACAGGGGCACCGCAUGGUGAUAUUUGUUAAAAAUUUAUUGCUGAUAGAUGGGCAUGCGUUCCAUUAGGUAGUUGGAGAGGUAACGGCUCACCAAGCCUACGAUGGAUAGGGGAACUGAGAGGUUGGUCCCCCACACUGGUACUGAGACACGGACCAGACUCCUACGGGAGGCAGCAGUGAGGAAUAUUGGUCAAUGGGCGAGAGCCUGAACCAGCCAAGUCGCGUGAAGGAAGAAGGAUCUAUGGUUCGUAAACUUCUUUUGCAGGGGAAUAAAGUGCAGGACGUGUCCUGUUUUGUAUGUACCCUGAGAAUAAGGAUCGGCUAACUCCGUGCCAGCAGCCGCGGUAAUACGGAGGAUCCGAGCGUUAUCCGGAUUUAUUGGGUUUAAAGGGUGCGUAGGUGGUUUAAUAAGUCAGCGGUGAAAGUUUGCAGCUUAACUGUAAAAAUGCCGUUGAAACUGUUAGACUUGAGUGUAAAUGAGGUAGGCGGAAUGCGUGGUGUAGCGGUGAAAUGCUUAGAUAUCACGAAGAACUCCGAUUG